rnacentral:rRNA from 1 species
UACAUGGGGUGCAAACGUUGCUCGGAAUUAUUGGGCGUAAAGCGCGCGUAGGCGGUUACUUAAGUCGGAUGUGAAAGCCCUCGGCUUAACUGAGGAAGUGCACCCGAAACUGAGUAGCUAGAGUACGAAAGAGGGUCGCGGAAUUCCCGGUGUAGAGGUGAAAUUCGUAGAUAUCGGGAGGAACACCGGUGGCGAAGGCGGCGACCUGGGUCGAGACUGACGCUGAGGCGCGAAAGCGUGGGAAGCAAACAGG